AGGGGGCAGUGCUCCCCCAAGAAAUCGGCGUCCGAUGCUCAAAACCCAAACCCAGAAACCAGCGGUUUCCUUACAGAUGCGGCUGCAAAACCAAACGAAAACGAGGGCAGAGCGCUGGGACCCUUUUCCCUUUCUUUCCUACUUUUUCACAUGGAAUCGUAGAAGUAUUCAUCUUAAUCAUUAUUUAAAAUAAACUCUGAAGAUUUCCUUUCUGUGCCUAAAAGCAAAACAGAACAGACCUUCAGCUCACCAGCAGGUUAGGGAUGAGAAGGUGAAAAAUGUGUCCUAGCCAUUAUUGGAUGAUCGCUCCAAACCAGGUUUGGAUUUUCUAAGAUAUUGUUUUUUGUUUCUAAUAAUUAGUAGCGACACUGGAAACCAGACCUUUACCUGAGGUUUGUUUGAAGUCCCUGCAGUCUUUGAACAUUUUAACAGAUUUUGAAGUACUUACACCUUUUUUUUCCUCUCCCCUUUUUUUUUUUUUUUAAUUUUUUGUGUUAGGUCCACACCAACAGACUUGAGCAAGGAUUAGGAUCCUGUUGCGAGCAGUGUUGCACAAGCAUGUAGGAAGAGCCAGUUGCUGCCCCAAAGAAUUUUGUAAACAAUGUGAUGAAGGCAUAUGACAUUUGGGAGUGGAAGCAGGCAAAUGGAGACAGAGGAGCUUGUCCAAGGUCAAGGCUGGGAUCAAAUCCAGAUUUCCAGUGUCCUUGUCCAGAGCCUGACUCACAACUGGCUUAGGUUUUUCCACCCUGAUCCCUUCUUCAGUACUUUGCAGUUGCCUAGACUUUUCCACUGGCCUUCCCUCCCAUUUUGUACCACUUUUUGGGGAGCCACAUCCUUCCUGGUCAGACCUUAGAGGCGAUGGCUGAGAGGAGAGGUCAGACGCCAGAUGAGAUGGCUCAGCUGAGCUUGCUGAGCUCCAAGACCAAUCGCCAGCAGUUGCUGGGGCCAUAUUCUUCGAGGCAAUAGAGAAGAAACCCACAGCAGGCAGUUAUGAAAUGACUUACCCCUGGGAAAGAUUCCUUUGAACUGCUGUCAAUUAAAGGGUGACUUAUGGCCUUGAGCACUAGCUGCUUUUUUUCUUAAUAUUUACUAUUUAAAUUCUAGAUGUUCUUGUUACCCAGACUUGUCUGUGCUUGGUCUGCCUAAUUUAAGCUAAAGUAGCUCCUCAGGGCAGAGGUCUGGUCUUUUUAUAUUUGUUAAUUGCCAUGUUCCCCCUAAAAUCAUGCAGAUUGUAAUAAACAAAAUAGCAAUGAUGGGUCCUUCUGGUUUUAA